rnacentral:pre_miRNA from 7 species
GACUGGAACUGUAAGACCCCCUUUUGGGGACCCCCACUCUAGUCUCGGGAGUGUGAGAGCACCCAAAGAAACACGAGGACCC